UCGGGGUGCCCGCCCUCUGAUCUUCAGAGAACGGCUGGCGGGGGAGCCCGGGCCUGCUUCUGCUUCUCACAGAUAUGGGUGGGCUCCUGAUGCGGCGAUGUCCUCAGCCUUCUGCUCAGCCUUGCCACCUCCAGCGUUUCAGCAUUUCCCCAGCUGAGGGAACGCUCCCCAGGAGGGCACUGAGUAUGGGAUGAAACCUCUUCCUAAACCCAUAUCCACGAACUGCCUGUCAGGGCUGCACGUUUCCGAGCCCUCAUCCCUCCAAGGCUGUGCAUCGAAGCUCCGAAGAAGAGGCUGUCCCGAGCCUUCUACCUGGGAGGAGGCAGAGUGCAACGAGGAAACGCACUGAUCUGGGAGUACUAAGUCAUGCAGUCAUUCAUUCAUCCCUUCAUUCUCUAACAAGCGCUUGAUUGCUUACGCGCGCUAAGCUCUGCGUUAGGGGCUGUGGCUCAAGGGUGAACGAGACGCAGUCCAUGGCUUCACGGAGCUCUUACUGUGGCAGAUGAAAGACGCUGAAAAAUGGCUCUGAAGUGUCUACGUGGGAGAGAACAGGGGCUUCCGUCUGGUUUUAAGAGAGAAAGGGAGAGGCGUAGAGAUUUAUCUCGAGUGGUAAACUGGUUCGGCAGGAGUCCCGAGGGGCCUCCCUGGCUCCAGAAGCCACUCCGUGUAGGGCAGGAGGCCAGUCUGCUGGGUUUCACCCGCCCCCACCUGAGGGGCGUCCUCCUCGGAAGCUCCCCCGGCUCACCAGAGGCGGCGUUUCCUCCAAGGGACAGUCGAGCUUCUGGAAGGUUUUCUUGUUCCCGGGACUGCCGUCAAUUUCAUUUCUGUUGUGAUUACUCUGACUUAAUGAAUUCUCGCCCAUUGAUUUUUGUUGAUUUUUUUAAAAGUAAGUUUGGAAACAGCAACCUGUGGUUAGACAAACAUGAAUUUUUUAUAACUCGGUGAAUCCGUAUUAAUGGAACCUGUGGACGUGAUGAAUCAACAUGACGUGUGCUGGUGGCACCUCUGAACAGGAGUUGUGCCUGGCGCUUACUUAAAUUUUGUGUAUCAAGUACCGCGUGGUCCACAAGUGAUCAGUGGAGAUUCUUGGAUGAAAUCCAGAUCUGUCUGCUCUUCACUCCCUCCUCGCUUCAUUUUCUCCCUUUUUAAAAGUCGGGUAAACACACGCAGGCAGAAUUUCUAGAUUGAACCUAAUUGUCUGCUCUGAAGGUCUUAUUGUCAACUUCACAAGAGUUUGCAUAGCUCGUCUCUUCCGUGCACAACUGCAAAUUCCCAUUAGCACCUCUCCUUCUUGCAUCCAUCUGUGGUUAUGAACAUUUAGUCAGGAAG
rnacentral:lncRNA from 1 species